CUGUGUAUUUUUGUGAUCCCGUUGGUAACACUGUAACAAUGUGUUUUUGCAUGUUUUUGGGAAGCUAAGCAGCUAACAGUGGAAUUUUGUAACUUGUUGGACCUCUGAAAUUGCCUAUUUGCAGCUGGUUCUAAUUAGCAGAAUGAAUAGCAUGCCACUGGUGAAGGUCAAGCACUCAAGCAUCACUAGAUCAAUAUUUGCUUAUUUGAAUGGGAUGAAACUAAAUCCAGAAAAUGAACACUUAGCAUUUCCCUCAUCAUAUUUUAUUAUGUUGUAUUUAGUUUUUGCUUUUUGGUGGUUGUAAUUAAGUAUAUUAGCAAAUUGGCUUUUGGGUUUUCAUAUUGUAAUUAUUGUUCUGCUUGUUUUUUUAUUUUGUUUUUGAUAUUUGGAUUUAGAA